UGAACAGUGCCUUUCUGUGUAGG
rnacentral:miRNA from 1 species